CCUGGGACCAACACAGCUACAAUAACACUGCAUACAAUUGUUGUCAAUGACUAAUCUAAUCUAUCAACAUAACCUACGAUGGUCAUAAGAAAAAGCUCUGUGAACAAUGCAAAGAGGUGUGCCAUUGGGCAGCUGGAGGAAACCACAAAAAGGGCCAACUGAAAGAAUCUCGCCAUCAAACACUACUCGGAGAAAGAAAACUUAUGGGACAUAACCACAUAGAGAACAUGCAAAGAGUGGUCCAGAAUAGACAGAUGGCAGAGCCUUGUUUGUGCCACAAGCGACACUUGACAGCACAAGAAGGAUUCGGAUGGCCUGCAUUAUGUUGUAGGAGCUGGGUCUUGGGAAGGCCACAGCGGAGGAAGCUGCAAUUGUCAAGACUAGAAGAGAUGAAGAUAUGCCUGAGGACUCCAGCAGAGGCAGUGAUGUUCAUAAGGUGUUCUAAAGGUGGUGAGAAGAUGAGAGGAGAUAGAGAGAGGAUGUCAAGGCUACAGAUCACCAGAUUAUACCCUGAUUUAAAAUGUGCCACCCAUUUAAAAUCAAAGUGUCAAUCAGGGCAGAAUUUGACUCAAAGGAGGUUGGAGAUAGUUAUAUUGAGUUGCUUCUUCCUUCGGGUCAUCUUCUUUGCUCUUCUUUACUCUUGUAGGUUUCUCUGAUCUUCUCCUGCUCCUAGCCAACCAACUUUUGCCUGACUGAUUUGGCUUAUUUUUCAAUCCUAUCAUUUAGCAUACCUAUCCUCAAAUCACCUUCAGACCCUUGCUGAUUGGUCAAUAUUUGUAGACCAAUCAUAACUGCUAAAUCUAUGGUGACCUGCACAUGUUUUUGGACUGAGUAGGCCUAGUUGACCCCUCCUCACAGUUUUGGAGUGACCUUUAACUAACCUCAGUCCAUAUUUGCCCAGCAACACGCUAGCCAUAGGUUAAACUGCUUAGAACUGCCAUCUCACUGCUCUUGGCUGUAUGUCAACAUUGAUUGCACACUUAAAUUACCAGACUUUUGAACUAUAAACCAUCACCUUAAUAUAUACAUAUUUGUUAACUUAUGCAUCUUAAUGUUAUGGUCUACUGCUGCCACCUUAUUUCUUAUCAAUUUAAUUUUAUUUUGGUUUUUCCCCUAUUAUCAGUUAAUGAUGGCAGAGCAGCAUUUUUCUGUGCUGUGCUUGGAAACAAAAUAGAGCAGCUCAAAAUCCUUCGUAUCAAUAUGGAUCUGCUUUGUACUGCUUAACAUUUUUGUUCAGAUCCAACAGUGGCAUAAAUCAGCAUAGUUCUACAGCAUUCUAUUCAAAUCACCAUCAAUUUCCAGUACUUUGCACAUUAGGGUGACUCAUUUGUAAGUUAUGUAUUCUCUAAAAUUCUACACAAACAACAUUCAAGCAUUAAAAUUAUAUAUUUAAAACAUUUUUGACUUGAUUAUAAUUAAAACAAACACUAGGAAAUAAUAAUGUUAACUCUUAUGUAAGUGACCAAGAUUCUCUUUCAGUUCUACCUAUAUUUCCAAUAGGUGGUGCAAUAGCAAUUUCUGAAUGCAGGAUGGUAUUUGGGUCCUUUUGCAAAAAGUGAGUUGGCUGGACAAAUCAUAAAACGUUGACUUGUAUUUUAGACAUCACCCACAAUAGGUGUCUAUCGGGGUGAAAGUAGCACAGAUGACUUACUGGUACGGGUGCCAGCUCUGGGCCCCCAAAAGGGAUGGGGUCUCAGGUGGA